UUUGCAUAUUCUAUUAUUUGUUGUUUCUUAACCCUUCACGCCUUUUAGUAGAAGCAAACAUAACACAACAACAUGACAAGAUCUUCUUCACUCUAUUUAUAAGAAAUCCAUAUUUAUCACCGCACAGCUGAUAUUGUAGAACUGCCUAUUGGAAAUGGUAAUAUAUGGACGUAUAGAAUGCAUCUUUCCUAUUCAUGUGUGACAUCUUGACCUCUAAGAGUGCCAGUUUUUAUCUACUUGUGUAACUUUUUUUACCUAUUUGUGGUUUGUCUAGUGACUCUCAUCUAGUGAACCCUAUGGUGCACUUAUAUGGUCCAAUAACGUCUAAGUUUUUGCAAGAAUAUUAAACCAGCUGAGCCACAUAUAUGUGAAUGUGUAUGGAUAAAGCCACCGCCUGGCAAAACUCAUAAGAUUUUUACUCUUGAAAUGUGUGAACCCUUGCAAAAAGAGUGAGCCGCAAGGAAUAACAUUGUGAACUCUACAUAUUUUACUAUUCAUUGUCUGAAGCACUUCAAAUGGUAUCACUUAUAUGCUAAGUCAUGCCAAAUCCAGGUCUGGUCUUGGGAUUUUAGAGGCCGGGGGCGAAAUUAGAGCUCGGGGCCCCUUACAGCAUGCCCUCGCGGACAAAUUUCCUAGCCAUCUUUCCUGCUUCCUGUUCAAUCCCGAGAUUCAAUAUUGCACCCAACGCCCAACGAAAUUAUUUUACUAACUAGGAGGCGGAUUUGAAAGUGCUAUAAAAUCCAGUGCAUUCAUAGAAAAAUAGAUUAAGCAUAAUGUUGGACUUGUUUCUUUUCCUCGACUAGUGCUUACAUCUGUGUGUUCCAUAGCACAUUGCAAAGAGCAUACGCAAUCCACUCAAUAAAAUAGGAAAGCAUCUAUACAUGGCAAUUAGCACCGGAGGUAGUGACUCUUUGAUAGAUCCCAUUAUCCCGUAAUUAUUAUUAUUUAGAUAUUUUCCGUAAGCAUCACAUCAAGGUCUCUACAUUGGACAUACCCUUAGUAUUUGAAAAUUAGAGCAAAGCUAUAAAACACUACAUUAACUCGAUAAAAAUAUCUUAUUAAUUAUCACAUUGGUUUCAUAGAUUACAAAGCCUAAUAAUAUCUAUGUUGACCAUGGCCAACCAAUCAAUUAUUAGUGCCCUAUGACAAUAAUGAAGAGGGAAUAUUGGUUAUUAUUUAUACUUCUUUUACUAAUUAUAAUCAUGGGAAAAGCAAAAUCGCUAGCGCACAAUACCUUCUCUAGAAUGGGGCGUCUCCGGCUAAAGUUGUAGCGGCCGCAAGGCGCAAGCUCGGUGGGCGUCCCUCGUCCGCCAUUGUUCAACUAUUUCUCGCGGUCGCGAGAAAAAGAGGGGGAAAGCCAUCCGGUGGAAGCCGCCUACACCGUGCGUGCUUGAAGUCCUAACUCCUAACUGACACGCCCAGGGCCUCUCCAAGAAAGCUGACUCGAUCGGUCCAUCCAUGAUCUACGGUCGUGCAUUAUUAGUAGCCAGCCUCUAUACGUAGUAACUUGGGCCAACAUCACAGUACAUUUUUUCACUCCAUCCAGACGCUGGAGAAGGCCUAUCCAGUAAACAUACGUCACUGGGUGGGGGCCCCACCGUUCCGAGGGGCCUGGGGUGGUCGCCUCCCCUCCCCCUCCCCCCUCAGGGCCUGGCCUGGCCAAAUCCUUGCGUUGGUAUGGUAGAGUACCUUCUCUUUUUUAGUGGGGUUUUGUGGUAUAGUGAUAUGGUCCAGUUGAUAUCUUGUCAUGCUGGGACCUAUGGUGUAAAGAAGGAAUAACAAUAAUCAGGAGUACUCCAACACACUUGAAUUACGCACAUAAAGCAAAUAUCUUGCAGUCUACAGCUCAAAAACCUGCUAUCGACCAGUGCAUUAAACUCCAGGAAAUAGAUGUGGUUUGUACAAAAGGCCUUUCCAAUACAUACAUAAUGACUUGAAACAUCUUGUAUUUAGAGCUGAAAAUAUGUCAUGUACUAGUGCAUUAACAUCCAGAAGAAACUCAAAUGUGUUAAAAUUGACCUUGAACCCACUGCUCAACGUACUUGAACCCGUAGGUGGCUCUGUCCUUAUGUACAUUGGUGAACAGUAGCAAUUCCAGGAAUACCUCCAUAGAUGCUGCCUGGUUUUGUUCUUGUUAGGCCCUUCCAUCACUGGCAGCUGUUGCGGCCCUUUUUCCUUUGUUCGAUACACCUUCUCGAAGUGGCAAGAGACGUCAAGGUUGUGGGGGAGCAUCGUGUGGCUGUCCUGAAGUAUUUGCAAGAUCACGGAAGGUGCCCCAACAACGUUACAAAUAUCACACCCUCCUUUGAUGAUACAGUUUUGAGUGAGAACGUGAUGAGCCGGUUGAAGGGUGGCACCAGUGUUGGAAGCUCAGCGUCCAUGUCAAGAUCCUACAAACCAUCACCAAACUGUGCCACAACAGCAUGUAAGAUGUACCAUAUAAGGGAAGACGAAUUUCAAGACGGCGGUGAGCCCCACUUGAGAACUGUAACAGGAUGCUCUACUAGCACCCUGUAGAGACAUGAGGGAAAUUGCUACUGCUCACUGCCGUGAUUGCACACAAGGGUCACGUUUGAUGCGGUCUCUAGUGCACUAAUGCAUGACAUGUUUUGAGGUCUGAUGGAAUAUAUUUCCUCCAAUAUGUACCAGAAAUGUAUCUCAUCUACAAUGUGCGAUGACUUACACUUGAUAUUCACUCAUGUUUUUAUUCUUUCUUUAUAUAACAUUAGUUGCCUGGCAUGGCAUGAUGUCAAAUAUUCUAAUGGAUUAUGCCAUGGUUCCGUGAUUUUUCAUUGAAUAAGAGAAGGAAGUACCAUUAUAAA